UGUUUCGUGGUGUAGUGCUCAGCACGCUCGAUUCGUAUUCGAGAGGUCUGUAGUUCGACUCCCGGCGAGGCAU
rnacentral:tRNA from 1 species